rnacentral:rRNA from 1 species
GACGAACGCUGGCGGCGUGCUUAACACAUGCAAGUCGAACGGUGAAGCGCCUUCCUUUUUGGUGGGUGUGGAUGAGUGGCGAACGGGUGAGUAACACGUGAGAACCCGCCCCCUUCUUCUGGAUAAACGCAAGAAAGGGGGGGCUAAAAGGGGAUAUCUGGGUCCGUUGGCUUGAUGGUUUGGGGAAGGUUUUGGUUUGGGUGGGGACUGGGCUCGCGGCCUAUCGGCUUGUUGGUGGGGUGAUGGCCUACCAAGGCGGUGACGGUUAGCCGGCCUGAGGGGGUGGACGGUCACAGUGGGACUGAGACACGGCCCAGACUCCUACGGGCGGCAGCAGUGGGGAAUAUUGCACAAUGGGCGCAAGCCUGAUGCAGCGACGCCGCGUGAGGGAUGGAGGCCUUCGGGUUGUGAACCUCUUUCGCCAGUGAAGCAGGCCUGCCUCGUUUGUGGGUGGGUUGACGGUAGCUGGAUAAGAAGCGCCGGCUAACUACGUG